CAGAUUUUAUUUAUAUUAAUUUGGAUUUAAUAUUUUUUAUCUGA
rnacentral:tRNA from 1 species